GAUGAACGCUGGCGGCGUGCCUAAUACAUGCAAGUCGAGCGAAUGGAUUAAGAGCUUGCUCUUAUGAAGUUAGCGGCGGACGGGUGAGUAACACGUGGGUAACCUGCCCAUAAGACUGGGAUAACUCCGGGAAACCGGGGCUAAUACCGGAUAACAUUUUGAACCGCAUGGUUCGAAAUUGAAAGGCGGCUUCGGCUGUCACUUAUGGAUGGACCCGCGUCGCAUUAGCUGGUUGGUGAGGUAACGGCUCACCAAGGCAACGAUGCGUAGCCAACCUGAGAGGGUGAUCGGCCACACUGGGACUGGGACACGGCCCAGACUCCUACGGGAGGCAGCAGUAGGGAAUCUUCCGCAAUGGACGAAAGUCCGACGGAGCAACGCCGCGUGAGUGAUGAAGGCUUUCGGGUCGUAAAACUCUGUUGUUAGGGAAGAACAAGUGCUAGUUGAAUAAGCUGGCACCUUGACGGUACCUAACCAGAAAGCCACGGCUAACUACGUGCCAGCCGCCGCGGUAA
rnacentral:rRNA from 1 species